rnacentral:rRNA from 1 species
GACGAACGCUGCGGCGGUGCCUAAUACAUGCAAGUAGAACGCUUGAAGAGAGGAGCUUGCUUCUUCUUGGAUGAGUUGCGAACGGGUGAGUAACGCGUAGGUAACCUGCCUGGUAGCGGGGGAUAACUUAUUGGAAACGGUAGCUAAUACCGCAUGAAAUUAAUUGUCGCAUGAUAAUUAAUUGAAAGAUGCAAUUGCAUCACUACCAGAUGGACCUGCGUUGUAUUAGCUAGUUGGUGAGGUAACGGGCUCACCAAGGCGACGAUACAUAGCCGACCUGAGAGGGUGAUCGGGCCCACACUUGGGACUUGAGACC